CUGGCUUGCAUCAGAACACACGGCGCCCCAUGCUCUCUUCGCCCCGUCCCGAGGAAAGGCUGCUUUCUCUACUGCGUCAAGCAAGCCGGGCGAUACCAUCUUAUCCUCCUCUCACGUUUACUUUGAGCUCUUGCUGUUUGCCAAUGGAGAAAUUAGCCUGAGCUGAUCGCUGGAGUAGACGGUCAGGGGUGGCACCGUGCGUGAGCUGGUCCCUGGAGUUGCCACUCGGGGGGCAGUUCGCUUUGUCCGCUCGCUCUGUUCUUGCUUACUGCUGCUUCGGUGUCUUCUGAGAUGGAUCAUUGCAUUAUCUCUAAGCUUGAGCCUGGUCUUGGCAAUCCGCGCAUUUGUGUGCGUCUUUCGCGUAUGUGGAACUUCAAUGACCCUAAGGAUGAUACUUCUCUUCUUCAUGUAGCACUUGUAUUGGUUGAUGAGACGGAAGGCAGCAUUGCAGCUCAGAUAUUCCCACUAGAUGAUAAACUCUUUAAGCCCCUGUUGUCGGAAGGAAAGAUUUACUACCUGACACACUAUAUUGUGAGGAAUUGUAGCAGAUCCUACAAGCCAGUGAGCAACUCUCUUGCUAUUGCAUUCACAAGAUGGACUGUUGUUGAGGAGUAUGUGAAUGCACCCACCAGCUUUCCAUUCUACACCUACUCCCUGAAAUCUUUCAACCAGCUCAGUGCGCUUCUUGACAGCAAAGAUUCAUUCACCGAUACUAUCGGAGUCAUCAUUGAGGUUUCAUCUAUUACUUUUGUUCGAUCACGUACAAGGGAUGGCGACAGCCUAAAGCGCAAUGUGUUCAUCCGCAUGCAAAGUUAGACAUCCUUAUGCUUUUCAUUUGACUAUUUUUUUUCUUACAUUUGUUUGCCUAAUGUGACAUGCACACAGAAAUUUCCACAACCAUUUUUUAACCCCCAUUAACCACAAAAUAUUUUAAACAUGUAAUAUCACUUUACUUCAUUAGCAAUGCCACUAUUCGUGUUUCGCUUUGGGGAGACCGCGCUACUGAGUUUCCUGCAGAAGUGGUCGGUCUUCUCUAGGGGUCAGUCAGAACAACAAAUUGUGAUAUUUGUCGGCACGUUGGUGAAAGGAUUCAAAAGGGAAAUCUACCUCUCAGGAAAUUCUGCUUGCAAGUGGUACAUCAAUAUUAAAUGCGAUGAAGUCCGAAGCUUAAGAGAUAGCCUGGCAACUCAAAAGGAACCAGUUAGGUGGCUUGACUUACCCUGGGCUGAUGCCGUGCGAUCUGCUGCUGAGAUAAAAUCAAUCAUCGAGAUCAAGGACCUAAACCCAUUCGUGCAUAAGAAACUCGAGUUUGUCGUCACAGUCACCAUAAAGAAAAUAUAUGGGUCUUGGUGGUACGUAGCAUGUGACAGAUGCAGGAGGACUGCAAGGCCAUAUGGAAAAACAUAUCGCUGUGGAGGUGGAGAUUGCCCAGCAACUGUGCCAGCAUCACCAAGGUUCAAGCUUGGUCUUAUAGCUGGAGAUGACACAGCUGAUACAAAGUUUGUUCUGUUUGGUCGUAUGGCAUAGAGGAUAAUAGGCAAAUCAGUAGAGAAUUUACUGGAUCAGCACCCGGCCGAUGAAGCAUAUAUUCCUAAACAGAUCACUGAUUUGCUAGAAAAACAGUUCACCUGGAAUGUUAGUAUGACUGAUACAACUAUAUCAAUUGGGAGCAUUUCCUUCCAAGUUAACAACAUUAUUGGAAAUGGUUCACAACCUCCCCUACUGCUUCAGUCACCAUCAUCAUCUCAGGCGGUGUCUUCAGUCCCUCUCUUGACUAUGUCACCAAGUGCUUCUGAAGGAAUGUCUAUUGCCCAGCAAAGCUUGACUGCUACAACUUCUCUUGGCUUCAAUAGCCCUCCUGUGACACCUAUGCAAGGCAAAGCAGUAGAUCAGGAAUGCUCAUCAAAGACACCAACUGGGAUUCCUGUGCGAUCAGAGGAUGAGGAUGAUGACAAUGCGACACUUGCCACGCUGAAAUGUCCUAGCCCAGCCACAAAGCAUAGCGCUUCCAAGGCACCAAGGAAGAGGGCACGGUCUUCUCCAGGAAGUGCUACGGUCAAAAAACUUUUCAAGGAAGAUGAUGAGCAAAAGGGUGAAAAAUGCCCAGACAAGAAUGAGUAGAUGCUCACUCCUUCUACACAGUUGCAGAUCAGAAGAGCCUUUUGUUUGAUAGCUCAUACUUAUCAUGUCUGUCGCCGAGCCUGCAAACUGCCUUUUGCAAACCUGCAUUUGAUGCGAUCAUUUCAUAUAUCGCACGAAAAUGCCAUUUCUAUUCAUGUGAUCUGAAACUUAAUUUGUAACGCUGCAAACAACAUCUGCCAUUGCUAGCAGUAUUCAUGGUUAUCAUGGCUAUACCUUGAUAAUAGUGAAUGCUAUGUGGAAUGGUUUAAGUUAGCUAAUGGAUUCAAACACCUUCCUUAAUCUCUGUUUA